GUGAACAUACCUUCCAAACUGUUUGCUUGGCGGGUUAGGCCCGUCCCUUGAAAAGGACGCCUCCCCGGCCCCGGAACGGACCCCCUCCGCGGGGCCCGGACCCGGCGCCCGCCGGAGGAUAACCAAACUCUAUUUUAACGACGUUUCUUCUGAGUGGCAUAAGCAAAAUAAUCAAACUUUUUACCAACGGAUCUCUUGUUCUGGCAUCGAUGAAGAACGCAGCGAAAUGCGAUAAGUAAUGUGAAUUGCAGAAUUCAGUGAAUCAUCGAAUCUUUGAACGCACAUUGCGCCCGCCAGCAUUCUGGCGGGCAUGCCUGUUCGAGCGUCAUUUCAACCCUCAAGCUCUGCUUGGUGUUGGGGCCCCACGGUCGACGUGGGCCCUCAAAGGUAGUGGCGGACCCUCCCGGAGCCUCCUUUGCGUAGUAACAUUUCGUCUCGCACUGGGAUCCGGAGGGACUCUUGCCGUAAAACCCCCCAAUUUUUCAAGGUUGACCUCG
rnacentral:rRNA from 1 species